UAGGAUGCAUGUCAAAUGUAGCUGAGUGCUUAGUAAAAAUGUUGAUAUACAACAUGUAGGUGUCACCAUGAUUCCUAGCAUAUAGAUGGGUGCAAAUACGAAACUAAGACACGUGGUCAGUUGCUGAAGAAAUUCCGGUGAAAACAUGCAGGGUCUAGCAAAAGGUCUGUAGCUGUGAGGGAAGGUGGAUGGCCCCAUAUGAGAGGUGUCACCAUGAUUCCUAGCAUAUAGAUGGGUGCAAAUACGAAACUAAGACACGUGGUCAGUUGCUGAAGAAAUUCCGGUGAAAACAUGCAGGGUCUAGCAAAAGGUCUGUAGCUGUGAGGGAAGGUGGAUGGCCCCAUAUGAGAGGUAGAUUUUUGAGAAGGGCAGAUAGGGUUCUUGAUUGUGCACAGUGUCUAAAUCCCCAUGUUUGGUACUGUGAUGGUGUGGGGGGUGGUGCGGAUUAGGCCAAAUGAGGGAAAAGCAAAGCAAAAAAGGGGAACCUGCUCAGAGCAUGUUUUGUGCACCAGCACCAGUAUUUAUAGAUUACAUGUAAUUUAGGGUCAUAAUUUAUUAACUACACUAAUAUGAAAUACAAAUAUUGACAUAAAAGGGAAAUAUGAUUUUUCAUUAGUCUGUCAUAAUCUGACUUUGGUGUAUACCCCCUAUCCACAUGUUUCAAAACCAAAGAAACUGUCCCCUGCCACCUUAGUAUGCUGUAUAUUCGGAUGCGUCUGGCUAGUUCAAGCUAUAUGGCAAUUAUAGCUUUUGGCGGGAACUGUCAUCCGGGCCACUGGAAGGGAUCUACCAAACAGGUCGUACUAGGGAAGACUCCCCAGAUUCUACAGUAUGAUUUGGCAAAACUAGCAUCCAUUCAUACAUCCAUAUUACUUGCAAUAAUCAUGUUUAUUGGCAAAAAAGGAAUGAAAAGGGGAAAAACCCUAAAAAGCAAACAGAGCAAACAAA